rnacentral:lncRNA from 1 species
AUAGCGGGGUAAGGUCUUCACGUCUGAGGAAGAGAUCUGUGGCUGCGGGAGAUCUCUGCGGAUUGGGGCUCCAGCCUGACUGACCCGACAGUGCGGGUGGCCUAGGGGGAGGCGCUCAGAUCGUAUUUUUAUCCAAAAGAAGGACCUGGAGGAGGAUGAGAGCGUUACUGCUGCACACCUAAAGUCAAGGGGGAGAAGCCCGAGGAAGAUUGACCAGUUUUGUAAUUCUAGCAACAUGGUCCAUGGAUCAGUGACAUUCAGGGAUGUGGCCAUUGACUUCUCUCAGGAGGAGUGGGAGUGCCUGCAGCCUGAUCAGAGGACCUUGUACAGGGAUGUGAUGUUGGAGAACUACAGCCACCUGAUAUCACUGGGAAGUUCCAUUUCUAAGCCAGAUGUGAUUACAUUACUAGAGCAAGAGAAAGAGCCCUGGAUUGUUGUAAGUAAAGAAACAAGCAGAUGGUAUCCAGAUUUGGAGUCAAAAUAUGGACCUGAGAAAAUAUCUCCAGAAAAUGAUAUUUUUGAAAUAAAUUUACCCAAACAUGUUAUAAAGCAAAUAAGUAAAACACUUGGCCUCGAGGCCUUUUAUUUUAGAAAUGACUCAGAAUAUAGAAGUAGAUUUGAGGGACGACAGGGACAUCAAGAAGGAUAUAUCAACCAGAAGAUCAUCAGCUAUGAAGAAAUGCCUGCUUAUACUCAUGCUUCUCCUAUUCAUAAUACACAUAAACCAUAUGAAUGUAAGGAAUGUGGGAAAUACUUUAGUUGUGGUUCAAAUCUUAUUCAGCAUCAGAGUAUUCAUACUGGAGAGAAACCCUAUAAAUGCAAAGAAUGUGGGAAAGCCUUUCAACUUCACAUACAACUUACUCGACAUCAGAAAUUUCAUACUGGUGAGAAAACUUUUGAAUGUAAGGAAUGUGGAAAAGCCUUUAAUCUUCCCACCCAGCUUAAUCGCCAUAAGAACAUUCACACAGUUAAGAAACUGUUUGAAUGUAAGGAAUGUGGGAAGUCUUUUAAUCGUAGCUCAAACCUUACUCAGCAUCGAAGUAUUCAUACCGGAAAGAAACCCUUUGAAUGUAAGGAAUGUGGGAAAGCCUUUCGACUUCAUAUGCACCUUAUUCGACAUCAGAAAUUUCAUACUGGUGAGAAGCCCUUUGAAUGUAAGGAAUGUGGCAAGGCCUUCAGUCUUCACACCCAGCUUAAUCACCAUAAGAACAUUCACACAGGUGAGAAGCCAUUUAAAUGUAAAGAAUGUGGGAAGUCCUUUAAUCGUGUCUCAAACCUUGUUCAACAUCAGAGUAUUCAUGCUGGUGUAAAACCAUAUGAAUGUAAGGAGUGUGGGAAAGGCUUUAGUCGUGUUUCAAACCUUAUUCAGCAUCAGAAAACUCAUUCCAGUGCGAAACCCUUUGUAUGUAAGGAGUGUAGGAAGACCUUUAGAUAUCAUUACCAGCUUACUGAACAUUACCGAAUUCAUACUGGUGAGAAACCCUUUGAAUGUAAAGAAUGCGGAAAGGCCUUUGGUCUUCUGACACAGCUUGCUCAACAUCAGAUCAUUCAUACUGGUGAGAAGCCAUUUAAAUGUAAGGAGUGUGGGAAGGCCUUUAAUCGUGGCUCAAACCUUGUUCAACCUCAGAGUAUUCAUACUGGUGAGAAACCCUAUGAAUGUAAGGAGUGUGGGAAGGCUUUUAGACUUCACCUACAACUUUCUCUGCAUCAAAAACUUGUACAGGUGAGAAACCCUUUGAAUGUAAGAAAUGUGGGACAGCCUUCAGACAUCAGUAGCAACUUACUGAACAUCAGAAAAUUCAUACUUGGGUGAAAACCUUUGAAUGUAAGGAAUGUGGGAAGGCCUUUCAAUAUCAUUACCAAUUUCAUGGACAUUAUAGAUUUCAUAUUCGUGAGAACCCUUAUGAAUGUCAAGGAUGUGGGAAAUGCUUUACCAGUGGUAGAAACCUUAGAGUACAUCAGAGAAUUCAUACUGGUGAGAAACCAUAUCAAUGUGAAGAAUGUGGGAAAGCCUUUAGUCAUAGUUCAAACCUGUUAAACAUGUUAAAAUUCAUACUGAUGAGAAACCCUAUGAAUGUAAGGAAUGUGAAAAGGCCUUUAGCAGUAAUUAUGAUCUUACUGUACAUCUGAGAAUCCGUACUGCUGAGAAACCCUGUGAGUGUAAAGAAUGUGGAAAACUUUUGGAUUUAGCUUAGUCUUUACUGCACAUCAAAGAAUUCAUACUGGUAUGAACCGUAUGAAUGUAAAGAAUGUGGAAAGACCUUUACUUGUAGCUCGAGCCUUGUUCAACAUGUUAAAAUUCAUACUGGUGAGCAACCCUGUGAAUGUAAAGGAUGUGGGAAGACCUUUAGACUUAGUUCAGUCCUUUCUGCACAUCACAGAAUUCAUACUGGCAUGAAACCCUAUGAAUGUAAAGAAUGUGAGCAAACCCUUACUGUGAAUGAUCUGCUUACGCAACAUCAGAAAAUUCAUUAUAGUUAGAAGUUUUAUGAAUAUAAGGAGUGUAGACAAGCCUUCACUGUGUAUGAAAAAUUUACUCAACACCAGAGAAUUCAUAUUGAUGAGAAAUCCUGUGAACAUAAAAGAAUGUGUGAAGAACUUUCAUCGUGGCCUGGGAUUUGCUCAACAUCAGAGUAUUCAUACUGCUGAGAACUCCUUUGAGUGUAAAGAAUGUGGGAUAUUUUAUAGCCACACUAAAUGCCUUAGAGUUCAGAGAAGAUAAUUUUGGUGAGAAAGUUACUGAUGUGAGGAAUGUAGAGUAGCUGCCAUGUUCACAGUUUACUGCCCGUGAAAUAUUUUACUGGAUACAGGCGUACCUUGCUUAAUUGUGCAUUGCAGUUACUGCAUUUUAUACACACUGAAGGUUUGCAGCAACCUUGCAGUGAAUAAGUCUAUCAGCACCAUUUUCCAAACAGCAUAUGCACAUUUCAUGUCUUUGUGUCACACUUUGCUAGUUUUCAUAAUAUUUCAAACUUUUUCAUUGUUAAAUCUGUUAUGGUGAUCUGUGACCAGUGUUUUUUGAUUACUAGUGUAAUUGUUACUAGUGUAAUUGUUUGGGGAUACCACAAAUCCUGCCCAUAAAAGAUGGUGAACCUAGUUGAUAAUUGUUGUGGGUUUUGAAAGAAUAGUAAAAUAUAUACACAUAUCCCCCCCACCUAGAUUCAAAAUUGUUAACAAUUUGCCACAUUUAUUUUUUGUAUAUUUGUUGUACCAUUGAGAAUAAGUUUUAGACCAUUGAGAAUAAGUUUUAGAUAUCAUGACACUUUACUCCUUGUUACAUCAGCAUGUGUGUUACCCAAACAUAAAGACAAUAUCAUAUAACCAUAGUACCAUAAUUACCCUUAAGGAAAAUAUUCAUAAUUCUGUAAUAUCAUUCCAUCUUCAGAUUUCUUCCUUGGCCUGCAAACCAUCUUUUACAGCUAUUCAUUUUCUCUUUUUUUUUUUUUUUUUUUGAGAUGGAGUCUCGCUCUGUCGCCCAGACUGGAGUGCAGUGGUGCGAUCUGGGCUCACUGCAAGCUCUGCCUCCUGGGUUCACGCCAUUCUCCCGCCUCAGCCUCCUGAGUAGCUGGGACUAGAGGCACCCGCCACCAUGCCCAGCUAAUUUUUUGUAUUUUUAGUAGAGACAGGGUUUCACUCUGUUAGCCAGGAUGGUCUCGAUCUCCUGACCUCGUGAUCCACCCGCCUUGGCCUCCCAAAGUGCUGGGAUUACAGGCAUGAGCCAGCAUGCCUGGCCUACAGCUAUUCAUUUUCUAAGGAGAGUCCAUUGCAGAUUCUGCAUUGCAUUUGGUUAUCUCUCUUUAGUGUAUUGUAGCAUGGAAACCCCAUGAAAGUAUGCUCUCAAAUUAUGGUGGGUAUCAGAAUCCCCUGUGGAACUUAGUAAACCUACAGAAGUGUAGCCCUAGUUUAUAAGCCUGGGCCUCUGUUUUUUAUUAUUUCUCCAGGUUUUGUGUCUGUGAUACCAACCAGAGUUAGAGAGCCACUGGUCUAGAACAUUUCUCAUUUUAAAAAAAUGACAUUGAAUUUUGAGUAGCCCAGAAAUGUUGUUGGCUAUGUGUUUAGAUUUCUUUCUUUAUAGUGUCAUUUAGCCUUGUUCUUGGUUGUAUUUUCUUUACAAGGGAAAGUAAGUCCAGAGGCUUUCUUAGGUCUAGAUUAAACGUUUUGGGGAAGAAUACUUUGUAGGUUAUUUCUAUGUCAUAUUGUACUGUCAGAAAACAUUUAAGUACAGGUCCUUGCAUUAGUGAAACUAAGGAUGAUCAUUUGGGUAAGCUGGUAACCGCCGUAAGUCCAUUGUAAAGAUUUAGUUUGUAGUGGGUAAGUAAUCUAUGGAGAGACGUUGUCAUCUCUGAAAAGUUAUAGUCACGUGUACUUAAGCCCUGGAUUGAAUACAAAAUGAAAAUUGAAAUAGACUAUUGAGAAAUGAAUGCCAUUAAAGCGUCAACAUAAUUCAACUUGUGUGAUAUGGCUGACACUGUACUCAGUACAAAACUGGCACCCUUUGGAUUGUAUAGGGAGCCAAGAUUGUCCGGAACCUCUUUUUUGUUCAGCAUUUAUCACCAGCACCUAUACCAUGGCUGGUACAUGAGCUGUUGAUAAAAAUUUGAAAAAAUAUUAACCCUUUAAAUCAAGCUGUAAAACAUGAUACCAUUAAGCCGGGAGCAGUGGCCUCAUGCCUGUAAUCCCAGCACUUUGGGAGGCCAAGGUGGGCAGAUCACCUGAGGUCAGGAGUUUGAGACCAACUUGGCCAACAUGGCAAAACUCCAUCUCUCCUAAAAAUAAAAAAAUUAGCUGGACAUGGUGGUGCAUUCCUGUAAUCCCAGCUACUUGGGAGGCUGAGGCAGGAGAAUCACUCGAAAUUGGAAGGUGGAGGUGGCAGUGAGCCAAGAUCGUGCCACUGCACUCCAGCCUGGGCGACAAAGUGAGACUUCAUCUCAAAAAAACCCCAAAACAAAACAUGAUACCG